rnacentral:tRNA from 1 species
GCGGACGUGGCGAAAUCGGUAGACGCAGCGGACUUAAAAUCCGCCUCCCCCGGGGAAUAUGGGUUCAAGUCCCAUCGUCCGCACCA